AUCAGGUUGGAUUAGCCGACGCUGCAUAGAAGAGCCCUUGCCUGAAUUACAGAAUUAAGCCCUGCAAAGACCUUUCCUUCUACCCACAAGCCCUGGCCCUGGAUGACUUGAAGUCUUCUCCAGAUGAUUCAGCAUAUUCCCGGCCUUUCUCUGCGCAGAGGUGAUUUAUCGUGAGCUCUGCGGGGCCUGCCGAGGAAGGGAGACUGGACACAUGGACUGGUAUUAGACAGAUCUGUUCAUCACCUAUGAAGGCUGGAGGCUAAAUAUCUGGGGCAAGGACAUAGACGCUUUGGAAGACGUGUCAAAAGAUUUGCGGGCGUGUUUGAAAGUGCCCUGGAUGAUGCUGAUGAGCUGGUCCUGCCCUCUGUACCACACUGGAGACUUUCUGAUGACAACAUUAAGAAUGAAACCUGAGGGUUCCUGAUAGUACCACUGGUGAGUUUAUUAGGGGGAAAGCCCAGCUCUAAGAGUCGCACGUUAUUUGAAUGACAACUUGA